rnacentral:rRNA from 1 species
CCCGCUGAACUUAAGCAUAUCAAUAAGCGGAGGAAAAGAAACUAACCAUGAUUCCCCUAGUAACUGCGAGUGAAGCGGGAAAAGCUCAAAUUUAAAAUCUGGCGGUCUUUGGCUGUCCGAGUUGUAAUCUAGAGAAGUGUUACCCGCGUUGGACCGUGUACAAGUCUCCUGGAAUGGAGCGUCAUAGAGGGUGAGAAUCCCGUCUUUGACACGGACUGCCAAGGCUUUGUGGUGCGCUCUCAAAGAGUCGAGUUGUUUGGGAAUGCAGCUCAAAAUGGGUGGUAAAUGCCAUCUAAAGCUAAAUAUUGGCGAGAGACCGAUAGCGAACAAGUACCGUGAGGGAAAGAUGAAGAGAACUUUGGAAAGAGAGUUAAACAGUACGUGAAAUUGCUGAAAGGGAAACGCUUGAAGUCAGUCGCGUUGGCUGGAAAUCAACCUUACUUUUGUUGGGUGUACUUUCUGGUUGACGGGUCAGUAUCAGUUUUGACCGGUGGAUAAAGGUGCAGGGAAUGUGGCUCCCUCGGGAUGUGUUAUACCUGUAUCAUAUACAUCGGUUGGGACUGAGGUACUCAGCGCGCCGCGAAGGCCGGGU